GGGAAUAUUGGGCAAUGGGCGCAAGCCUGACCCAGCAACGCCGCGUGAAGGAAGAAGGCUUUCGGGUUGUAAACUUCUUUUCUCAGGGAAGAGCAGAAGACGGUACCCCUUGAAUAAGCCACGGCUAACUACGUGCCAGCAGCCGCGGUAAUACGUAGGUGGCAAGCGUUGUCCGGAUUUACUGGGUGUAAAGGGCGUGCAGCCGGAGAGACAAGUCAGAUGUGAAAUCCGCAGGCUCAACCUGCGAACUGCAUUUGAAACUGUUUCCCUUGAGUAUCGGAGAGGUCAUCGGAAUUCCUAGUGUAGCGGUGAAAUGCGUAGAUAUUAGGAAGAACACCAGUGGCGAAGGCGGAUGACUGGACGACAACUGACGGUGAGGCGCGAAAGCGUGGGGAGCAAACAG
rnacentral:rRNA from 1 species